GACAGAGGCCUCGAGCGUUAGGCGGAAUCACUGGGCUUAAAGCGUGUGUAGGCGGGCCCGUAAGUGUCUUGUGAAGUCCCACGGCUCAACCGUGGAACUGCUGGGCAUACUGCGGGUCUUGGGCCAACUAGGGGCAGCCGGAACAAGCGGUGGAGCGGUGAAAUGCGUAGAUAUCGCUUGGAACGCCGAAGGUGAAAACAGGCUGCUGGGGUUGCGCCGACGCUGAGACACGAAAGCCAGGGGAGCAAACGGG
rnacentral:rRNA from 1 species